GACUUGGGCACAGAUGGCCAGGAGGAAUAUCAUGUCAGUGAAGGCAGAGAGUGGAGAUUUGUUGACAUAACUCCAAACUGCCAAGGAUUGAUGGUUGGAAAUGAAGCAAAAAUGGCAGAGUCAGUUGCUGGAGGCCAUACAGUCAUCGGAAGUGCAGACUUAGGCCACGCGCUGUACCACGCAGUCAUCGGAAGUGCAGACUUAGGCCACGUGCUGCUUUCCAGGUGAAAAAUCUUGUGACUCAGCAUUAUUCAUCCCAGUCUUGCAGAUGAAGAAACUGUGGCUUAAAGAGGUGACCAGGCUGUAUUUGACUACUCUAAUGAUCUUGGGAGCCCUAGAUGAUCAGAAGUGAGCCUCCAAAAUGAGAAGAAGCUGGGCACAGAAUGAGCGAACAACACGGAGAAGUUCACUUUCCCUGAAAGCUCACAGCCCUCUUCUCUGCACACAGCUCAACACUUGGACGCAGAACAAGAUUUCCCCUAGCACGAAGCACGAGGCUUCCUCUUCAUGAAAAUGCAAACCACUGGCUGGAGCAGGUGCAGGCUGACUGAUGGGAUCCCAGCCCCUGGUACCUGCCUACAGAGCUUAGGAUCAGCCCUCCUGCCCUUUGUUUCUCUUUGCUCUUCAGACCAGUUUCAGGGAUGAAUUUGGAAAACAAGAGGCUA